GAGAGAGAGAGAGAGAGAGAGAGAGAUUCUCUCUCUGAUUGGGGGAGGGUCAGAGAGAGAGGGAGACACAGAAUCUGAAGCAGGCUCCAGGCUCCAAGCUGUCAGCACAGAGCCCGACUUGGGGCUUGAACUCAAGAACUGUGAGAUCAUGACCUGAGCCAAAACCGAGUCAGAAGCUUAACCAGCUGAGCCACCCAGGCACCCUGGUAAAGUCAGUAUUGUAAUGAUGUCAGUAUCUCUCCCUCACCCUCACUCCCCAAAUCUACAUAUUUAUUGCAAUCCCACUCCAAAUCCGGUAAUAGUCUUAGGAGAAUUUGACAUAGUUUAACACUCUUUCUUUCUUGAGACACUUUCUUCUCUGUUUUCCUCUUAUCUCAUUAGCUAUUCCUUGUCAAUAUCCUCUGCUGCCAAGCCUUCUACACGUUUAAGAUUUGGUACAUCCCAGGGUUCAGCCUUAGACUCUUUUCUAUCUGUACUUUCUGCUUACAUUGUCUUUUCUAAUCCCAUGACUCUAAAUACAACAUAUAUAUGAUGAUUCUCAAAUUUUUAGCUCUAUCCCAGGAUUGUUCUCUGAGCACCAUUCAUAUUCCAUUGCUUUUUCAAGUUACACUUAAAUGUCAAACAGGAAUAUUAAUAUGUCCAAUACAAAACUUUUGCUUCUUGCCACUCCUCUCUCCUCUAUUACACCAACUUGCUGUUUCCCAGUUAAUGGAAUCAGUUUAUUGCUCAGGCCCAAAUCUAGUUUUUCUGACUCCUCUUUUUCCCCACAUUCCCCACAUUUAAUCAAUCAUAAAGCUGGGGGGGGGGGGCGGGGAGGACACUUCCUACAAAAUAUAUUCCAAAUGUGACCACUUCUCAACACCUCCACUGCUCCCUGUAAAUCCAAACUACCAUUAUCUCCCACCUAAAUUCCUAACUGGUUUCCUUGCUUCCACUAUUGUGGAAGUCUUCCACUAUUGUGGGGUCUGUGUCUAACUGGCCUGGUGGCAUUCAGGACUAUUGAACACCUUCCAGCCAAUUGCCAGCUGUGACUCCAUUCCAUCGGGUUUUCAGUCAGGUCUGGCUACCUUGGACUUCUGGGAUGAAGGUUGGGGAGAUUUCUAAAUCCAGAAAGCUCUAGGGUUUCUCCCCAGUGUGGUAGCAAGUGAUGUGGAAGUGUUGGGGUUCAGAGCAAAAGGUCAAGAAAGAAUUCUUGAGACAUCUUCAGUGCCAAAAGAGUUUUAUUAAAGCACAGGGACAGGACUCAUGUGCAUAAAAAGCCGUGCUUGGGGUUGUGAGGAGUGACUGAUUAUACACUCUCAACUUGGGAGAGGGCUAGGGAUAGCAUAAGUCUUAAGGAAUUUUGGAAGCAAGGAUUCCAGGACAUACUAUGGUUAGGAAAAGGCCAUUUAUUACUUUCAAUAAAAUCUUAGUCAUGAGCCCCUUCAGAUGUAGAUCAGGGGGCCAUAUGCUUUGAGGAUGAUUGCUAACAUAUAUCCGGGUGGGGGGUGGGGCGGGGGUAGAGAUACAGGGAGUUUCUGAAGGAAUUUUUAUAUGUUAAGGUAGACCUGCAGGAUCCUGGAGGGUGGGAUAAUGUUAGGCCAAGAUUGCCUUUUGCCCUUAGCAAAGUAUUAACAUAGAGGCAGUUGAAUUCCUAGAGGAAGGUCACUCUGCCUGUCUCAAGGACUUGCCAAUGGACUGUAAGUUAUAAGGAAAUUUUCUUCUUUUGCCUCUGUUUCUCACAUCAGCCAGGAAAGACCUAGAAUGGGCCCAACUGUUCCCGUUUUACCUCAAACCAGUCAUCCACUUUAGGGAUUCCUCUCAAGUUAGGAACACUCUGAGUGUUCUGGAAUGGGUCUGAACUCCUGUAGAAGCUCAAAUAAGUUUAGGGCUUUCCUUAUGGAACCUGGAAGAUGAAAAACGACCUCCAACUGACCCACCCUCCUCACAACCAGUUAGUUGCCUGCUCUGCUCCAUAACUGUCUCCUCUGGGGUGUCCUACUUAGCUCUGUAAACCCUGGGGAUCAUAGGAUGUGCCCCAGAGCAUCUUGGAUGGAAGACUUGGAAGGUCCAGCAGACCCUUGGGUAUUGUCCCUGCUGAGUCUGAGAUCGAUGAAAGGACACCCUCCCUCCCUUCCCCAACACCUGCCACCCUCCUCCCUGCCAGCUGCAUCAAUCCCCUCCAGUGUUCUCCGUCCUGGAAGCUCUAGUGAUCCAGGACAGAACAGGCCUUUGGGUGAAGCCCUGUGGUUGCCGAAUGCAUUUCAGAGGAGCCCUUGAAGAACCUGGGGGCUCACUGCCCACCGCCCAGCGGGUUCUGCCAGCUCAGGCUCCCUUCCUGGCUCUGCUGGGAAAGUCAUCUGUGUUUGACUGAACGGUGGUCAUUCAUUCGCUCCCCACCUGCUCCUUCCCGGUAGCCAUCUGCUCCAGCCACCUGGAGUCUUGGGUCUCCGGGUAGGUCAACGCCCGCCCCUUCCCGCGGUCUCCCAAGUCCUCCUCUCCGCGAGGUGGCGCCACGCCAAGUCCGUGAGCGGGCGGGUCGCCGCGGCCCCGGAGGAAUUUUUCAAUUACGCAGUUCCAGGAAGCCGCCCCGCAACCCCCGCCGUCUGGUGUGCCGCCGUACUUCCUGCAGCUGCCGACCGGGCCCUGGGGGGAAUCCGGUUCUUGCAGGCGACACAAUACAAUGGAAGCCCCUGCAUGGAAGUUGACAGUUGGGAGCUUGAUUCCCUUAAAGCUGUCAUCGCCAACGUACCUGCGAGAACACCAGCUAUCCCCGUGGGUGCACACACUCCAGGAAGGCGCUGAUCAGUGAGUAAAGCAAUCCAUAUGUAGGACAGUAGGGGGUGGUGGAGACUUUAGAACAAAGUGCUGCGUGUUUCUUGUUUCAUCAUUAUUGAGUAAAAUUCUAUUGACCCAUUUAUUAUUAUUAUUUUUUUUUUUACAUUUAUUUAUUUUUUGAGAGACAGCCUGAGCAGGGGAGGGGCAGAGAGACAGGGAGACACAGGAUCUGAAGCAGGCUCCAGGCUGUGAGCUGUCAGCACAGAGCCUGAUGCGGGGCUCAAACUCAGGAGCUGUGAGAUCAUGACCUGAGCGGAAGUGGGACACUCAACUGACUGAGUCACCCAGAUGCCCCUCUAUGGAUCCAUUUCUUGAUUUCUGCAACUAAAAUUUUUAGCAGGCUCGUGUUUUGCUUCUAAUGUGAACUAGUGAAAUUCCAAAGCCUGGCCUUAAAAUGGAAGUCUUCAUUAUUCAUAAAAGUACAUCUAGAAUCACUGAAAAUGUUCCCUCUCCUUUACAGGUAGAGGGAGAGAGAACAUUUUGCAUCAUAAACAGCUCAGUUUGAUACGGUGUUAAAGGACAUUCGCAGGAAUAUCAAGCUCGUUCUCUUGUCAAAAUGGAGACAUGUGUGCAUAGUUUUUACUGUUACCAACUUGUUUUGUUCUCCAUUAACUAUGUCCCAAGGGUGCCUGGGUAGCUUAGUUGGUUAAGUGUCCAGCUCUUGAUUUGUGCUCAGGUCAUGAUCUCAAGGUUCAUGAGUUCGAGUCCCACAUUGGGCUCCACGCUGACAGCGAGAAGCCUGCUUGAGAUUCUCUCUCUCCCUGUCUCUCUGCCCCUCCCCUGCUUGUACUCAUAAAUAAAUAAGUAAAUACAUACAUACAUACAUAGUCCUUAGAAGUGUUAUUGGGACAAAUGGGUCUUAUAAGACUCCAAAGACUAUAAAUUUUGCAAUGGCAUACAAAAUACUCAGACUGGACUCUGGGAACAGAUACUGGACAGAGUUUGGGGUGCAAGAUGUUUAUUAAGGAUGAGCUCCUGUGAAAGGAAGAAUGAAGAGGCAGGACUGGGCAGAGGAAGAAAUCAGACGGCAAUGAAAGCUUGAUAGAGCCUAGACCAACCCACUGAGGAGCUCUGGAAUAAGUACUGCUCACAAGCCUGUCCUGCUUUGGGCUGAAAUGGCUUGUUUUGUUCAGGCAGGAGAUGCUGGAUGUUCCAGGAAAGGUAGGACUUGGGGGGGGGGGGGUCCCAGCAGGGGACAAUUUGCCUUCUGCUGGGUUUUACAUUUGUUUCGCUUCUCUGCCUUUGGGCCCUUCUCCCCAGUUGGAUCCAAUAUUUUCUGUGUGUUUCCAGCACUGGAUGGAAUAAAAAUAAAGAGUGAGCCCUUAGAUAGGGGCAAGUGCUAGGGUCAGGGCACCCAACCCCCAUAGGGAAAUUGGAGACCUGGGCACCCACCUGGAGAAAGUAUUGGGUGGUAUCAGGCCUUGACCAGACCCAGCACUAUGGCUUGGGGAACAGACAGGUAGGUGUCAAUUUGGAGCACCCCAAGAACUAUUCCUGUCAUAGCUAUAGACCAGAAAUAAGGAUAGACUGAAGUGCAAAUUGUUCAAAUGUUAGACUAGGCAGUUAGGUUCUAACAGGAUACCUGGAGGCCAGCAAAGAGGAAGUCAUGGUCAGCGUUUGGGAAGGCCAGAGGCCUGUCCUCACAGCACUCCUUAAGAAGCCAGAUUAAACCAGACAGGUCCAACAAGGCAGGUGCCAAGACAGAACCCCUGGCCAAAUAAGGAAGAGGAGAGAAAACCUACCAAUUCCACUCCAAAUAAUGAAUAAACCACACCCUUGUUAAUAGCUGUUGAUAAAAAUAGAAACCUGAACCCUGGGAAGUUCUCUCUCUUCCUUCCACUCUCACCUCAAGAGUCUACUUUUGUUCAGGUUCAGGAGUGAAUGGUCAAAGAAUCCUUGAGACAUCUUUGGUGCAAAAAGGUGGUUUUAUUAUAGUACAGGGACAGGGCCCAUGGCAGAAAGAGCUGCACUGGGGUCGUGAGGAGUUGCUUUCAAGUUGGGAGAGGGUUAGGGAUAGCAUAAAUCUCUGAGGAAUUUGGAAGCAAGGUUUCCAGGACCCUGAGGGGCUAGCUGCUAUUAGGAAAAGGUCAUUUAUUACUGUCUAGUAAAAACUCAGUCAUGAGACCCUUCAGAUGUGUAUCAGGGAGCCAUAUGCUUGGAGGAUGAUUGCUAACAUAUGUCUUGGGGGCGGGGGGCAGAGAGAAAGGAAAUUUCCAAAGGAAUUUUCACAGGACCCUGGAGGUCGGACUAACGUCAGGCAAAGGUUGCCCUUUGUCUCUAGCAAAGUAUUAACAUCAAGGCAGCUAAGCUCCUUGAGGAAGGUCACUCUGCCUGUUUCAAGUACUUGUCAAUGGGCUGUAAGUUGCAAGAAAGUUUAAUUUUUUUUUUCUUUUGCCUUGUUCUCUACAUCACUUUCACUUUAAUAAAUUUUCCUGCUUGUAUCGCUCAUUCACUGUGA